rnacentral:rRNA from 1 species
GAUGAACGCUGGCGGCGUGCCUAAUACAUGCAAGUCGAACGAAACUUCUUUAUCACCGAGUGCUUGCACUCACCGAUAAAGAGUUGAGUGGCGAACGGGUGAGUAACACGUGGGCAACCUGCCCAAAAGAGGGGGAUAAGACUUGGAAACAGGUGCUAAUACCGCAUAACCAUAGUUACCGCAUGGUAACUAUGUAAAAGGUGGCUAUACUACCGACUUUGGAGGGGCCCGCGGCGCAUUAGCUAGUUGGUAGGGUAAAGGCUUACCAAGGCAAUGAUGCGUAGCCGAAUUGAGAGGUUGAUCGGCCACAUUGGGACUGAGACACGGCCCAAACUCCUACGGGAGGCAGCAGUAGGGAAUCUUCCACAAUGGGCGAAAGCCUGAUGGAGCAACGCCGCGUGGGUGAAGAAGGUCUUCGGAUCGUAAAACCCUGUUGUUAGAGAAGAAAGUGCGUGAGAGUAACUGUUCACGUUUCGACGGUAUCUAACCAGAAAGCCACGGCUAACUACGUG